rnacentral:lncRNA from 1 species
CAUGACUUAGUAAUAUAAAAACUUGACCGAGGCGAUAUUUCGCAUUUAGAUCGAUUAUCUUGUAUUCUCAGCAGCAGUGGUCUGUUAGAAUACCGAUAUUGCGCUCAAUUUCUCAAGUUAUUACAUAAAGGUAGGUAAGCAAUGUUUGUUACAAUUAGUGUACAUUGUAUAAAGUCUGUAGCCAUGGUAUAUUUUGCAGUGGGAAAACUGAAUUUGAUGUCAUUUAAUUUACAAUCAGAUGCAAAUAUGCAGUAAUGCCUGUUUCCGACAUACAUAUAUAUAUAUUGCUCGUGUAAAGCCAGUUUAUAAUCGAGUCGAGCAAGUGUUCUACUUUUCUACGACACGUUUUCAUACGGCAAGUUUGAUUUGCCAACUGAACGUGUGUACUGCGUAUGUUUCAGUUUUUCUGGCCGCCACAAUUGCAAUGUAUAGCUACACGACAUAUAGAUCGCUGUUCAACCGCAUCCAAGAUCAACACAUGCACGCAUAUGUACAGCGAGCAAAAUUUGUACUUCACUUGUUGAAAACAUACGUGUCAUAUAAAGCCCAUGAUUUUUAACUUCUACACUUCACUUACAAACGAGCGAAUAAAAUUUUUCAUGCAUAAAAACUUAGCUUGUUAGACUCGGUUAAUAUGAGCGUCUAAAUGUCAAUAUUUCUCAAACGAGCAUAUUAAGUUGGUAGAUCGAGGGCAAAGCUCGGUUGUUUCGCUCGUAUAAUUUCAGUGACAAUUUUUGAAUUUGUCUACCUAAUUUUUAAAGCGAUUUUAGUAUGCGAAAUUCUUGUAUUGUUCCUUGGCUGCGAGUCGGCGACAGGCCACAUGCAGGGUGUAUAAAAUGUCUUUCCUCGAUUCAAACAUAAAUUUAGAAAACAAUAAUAAAGCAAACCGUUUAUACGUACAUUCAGUUUAAAGCUUAGUGACGCAGCUUUUCAACGGUAGGCUACUUUUGAAAUUCUAGGGAAUGCAGGUUGAUGAAAAAUACUAUUUCAUGUGAACUAGAUUGUAGAAUCAAAAAUCUGAUACGCAAUUUGCUAAUAAGCAAAAUGGAAUGUCUGAGCAUAAAGAUAAUAGAUAUCUAUUAUUUCUAUGGGUCUAGCUGGCAUACAGAAAGGUGCUAAAUGCAUAGAUAAAAUACAUGCAUGGAAUGACCAUUUUAUUAGAAUGAAAUUAGGAUAUUCAUUAUCAUACAAAUAUAUAGGUUUUUGAAUACUUGGAUUAGUAUAGCUUCUGUGGAUAAUAUAUAGUUAAUAUAAAUACAAUAUUAUCAUUGGAAGAUGUUUAGUAUAAAAUAGAAUAUAUUCAUUGAGAAAUUUAACUUUUUGUUUUGAAAUGAUGGCAAUUAUUGGCAAGUACUUGAUAAACAAUUCCAUUCGCUCUCAAAACAUUAUCCUUGUUGUCGGUUGUCAAGUAUAUAGUGAUCUUCCAUGCAAGAUGAAGUGUGGACAUUCUAUUUUGAUACUUCCCAAAAAAUAGAGAUGUCUCUUCCAGGCGACCGAAACCAUUGCACAGUUGCAUUAUGUCAACGUUGAUAUUAUAAAUUUGAAAUCAUUCAGUAGACCACACCUUUUUUGGCACUCCCGCGCGUUCUGUUUCAAAUUCGUCUCGCGAUAUCUCGUUAUACAAUGAAAAUAAAUUCUGCCACAUCACACCGCUGUUGACUGAACUGCAUUGGCUUCCAAUUCGACACAGAAUUCAUUUCAAAAUUAUGCUGAUUACGUAUAAAGCUCUUCAUGGACUAGCACCUAUAUAUUUAACUUCGUUAUAGUCUCCUACAAAUACCAUCACGAUAUAAUCUUAGGAACUCUGAUGAUACUAAUUAAGUAAACUGUGCCUUUGGUAUAGCUGCUCUCAAAGUCAACUGUGAAAUACACUUCCAUCACUGGAUAUUACUCAUAUUAGAAAUGCAAACUCAGUUUAAAUUUAUUAUCAAAUACAAGAAUAAUAAUACAGCAUUAUAUUCUUCAUGGACUUCUAAAACAAUGCUUCCAUCAUCAUGCACUCCUAACUUCGUAUUGUUGUAUAUAUAUUAUUGUAAAACUAUAUCACAACUUUCUUUAAAAUUUUAUGUACUAUAUAUUAACUGACAUAUAGCUAUCGUUUGAAUUAUUCGCUUGUACUAAAAGCUUCUUAAAGUUUCUUAAAGUUUCUUAAAGGCUCCUAGCUCUAGUAUUCAACUGACGUUAUAGGCCCAAACCGCGGCUAUUACCUUCAAAGUGGUGAUAUUUCAUAUAUUUUGUUUGCAUUGACCUUCGGACGUGUUUGCCCUUGUUUACCUUUGAAUACAUUGACUUUCUGGCGUUAAAUUCUAAACUACGCACCUGAUUGGACAAUAAAAUUAUAAACCUAUUUAAUUUACCUGCCAGAACUGUGAAACUGAAACUUGCAGUUUUUCACACUUCUGCAAAAAAAUGUGAUCACGAGGUCCGGAAAUAUUUAAUCACGAGGUACUUUGAAUACAUCGAUCACGUGGUGUCUCUUGUGUUGGCGUGCGGCCAGCCAAAAAAGUGAGGGUGUCGUCGCAACCUACUGAUUUCGAUAAUACAUCCAUUUCUUUAGUUUGCUGUAUAUGUCUGCAAGUUGAGGUCAUUUCUAAAAAUGAAAUUAUUCUACACUGUAUAUAUAAUUAAUUAAGCAAUACAAUCGAGAAAGACAUGUAUACCACAACACUAUAUAGUAUAUAUACACUCUAAAUAUAUUCGUUAGCUUGUAUUUAUGAAAGAGACACAAUUUAAUUCAUAAAGAAGGUAAUGGUAAUGUUUCCCACAAACACUAUACUGUUUCGAGCUGGAAGAAAACGGAGAAUUAGGGAAAAAUAGUCGAUAAUUUUAUUAUUUUAAUAUAAACAAUGGACAAAAAAGGUGAAAAAAAACGACCGUAUCGACGACGUACUUUGAUAUGUUGGUAAAAUAGUAUGAUAAAUUCAAAGCAAGAUUAAAGUGUUGUCACUUGAUCAUAUGAUCCAACCAUUUAUGGGCACAAACGUGAACACACAAGAUUCUGAAAUGUCCGAUGCAUGCAAAGUCUUGUCAUAUGAUCAAACCAUUUAUGGAUAUAAGCGUAAACAAGUGUUUCUGAGAAUUAGUGAAUACAGUUGACAACAUCUCCAGUUCUGCCCAGAGAUGCUAUAAUGCAUAUAGCGUCUACUUUCCAGCAGACGCCCAAUCUCGUACCCAGAGCAAUGCCUGUGCACGGGCUAGGAUAGCAUUGGCUCUGGGGAAAUUGAAUUUCUCCUGUGCUGUGAUUGGUUUAACGUUUAUCAAUCGUGCAUGCCGACAAAGAACCGGAACCCCUAAAUUUAGGGGUUCCGGUUGUCAAUUUCCCCAGAGCCAAUGCCAUCCUAGCCCGCGCACAGGCAUUGCUCUGGGUACGAGAUUGGCAGACGCCAAAAGUCGAAGCCAUGCAUGCAGCAUGCUCUCGUGCAUUCUCGUUUGAGCGGCGAGCUUAAGAAACUGUAGUGUUCUGUUCACUACUUUAACCCUCUAAGUUCCUAAAGGAAAGAGUCUGGGUACGAGGUUGGUACUAAGCCCAAGUAAAAAAUAAUGACCCAACUUUUUUAUUUUUUUAUUUGAGUUUAUAAAGGUCUAUAAACUGCAACCUAGAAAUCUUAGAAUCCAAAGAAUUCGAGUAUAGUAAUUGUUCACUUUUUUAUGUAUAAAAUAAACGAAAUCCAUAGCCGAGUUGUAGUCAAUAUAGACUUGUUUUAUUUGUAGCUAGAGUUUAUUAUAUAGAUAUUUCGAUAUCUUUAUAUUAUCGCGAUAUUUUCACUCUUGAUAAUCGUAUCGAAGCUUAUAGGUAGCCAACUUGAACGACGAUAUAUGGACUAUUUUUAUAGCCGAAAACAGUUCUUUUAAUUUUUAAAAAUAUAGCACCCAACAGUACUGGUAUUAGAAACAUCGCGCUAAUAUUCGGAUAUUAUAUUUGGCAGAUGCAUAAUAUAUAUAGCCACAGAUGGCAAAUUGUCCUUUCGACUUUGAAGUUCGAAUUAAGAUUAUGCAUGAUAAUAUAGCACGUAUUAUAUUGUCCUUUUGGGCUCGUUCUUGUUGUCCUUUUCAACUCGUUACAAUUAUAGGAAUUUAGCGAUUUCUGUAAAAUGAAAAUUUGAAUUAAAUUCCAGAAUCCAGUGCAAAGUCCAGUUCAAUAUCCAAUUUGUUCACAAUAUGAGACACCCCAUGGUCAUGUUGAUAGGUAUACCAUACCGCAUACGUAUUACAUUUCAUAUUUAUACGUGCGAUAUUCUCAUAUUUUAGAUCAAUUGUCUUGUAUUCUCAACAGCAGUGACCUGUUAGAAUUCCUCAAGUAUUACAUAAGGUAGGUAAUUAUAAACAAUAUUUGUUGCACGUAAUUAUUGUAAAUUCGCGAUAUUUAUCUCAAUAGCCAUAGGCAAGCUGUAUUUUUUUAGGCAAGCUGUAUUUUUUCAGUGAUACGAAGUGAAAAUGAUUUCAAAAGUAUUGUGUUUCAUUCUGUCUGAUGAAGACUGAAAUAAAAUAAAAAAAUUAAUUAACGCUGCUUUCUUUGCACGCAAGGAAAAGUUAUCUUUCCAAAUUUUAUAUAAGUAUUACUUGCCUCAAACACAAUCUUGGAUUUAAACUUUCACAUAUGAAAAACUUCAGUAUUCCAAGGUUAUUCGUGAUAUUAUGUUACAUUACAUUGUCAUUUUAAUCAGUGAAAUGUGAGUGACGUGGGUGUUUUUGGACUGCCAUGUUUCAACAUGAUCUGUGUGAUCCCGUGCCGUCUACUGUAAACAUUUACUAAGCUCACACCAACCUCCUACUCCAUUGCGUGAAGAGAGCGCGGGACAACACUCGUGCAGAAAAAUUGAAAAUAUCGAUUCACGGGAUAUCAACGAUAAUUUCUGGUUUCCAUAGUAUCUCAUAUGUUGUGCAUGUGUUGUGCGCCUUAAAAAGAAAAGUUCAUAAGCAUAAGUCAUAUGAAUAGAGCAAAACAAAAAUACAGAAAUAGAAAAUCGUGUGCUCUUCAACGUCCGCGUAUCGACUACUUGUACUCGAAGGACCCGAAACUCCAGCCAGAAAGUGUAAAGAAAAUUACGAGGGUGUAAACUCAGAACUUACUCUCAAACAUUUUCUUCGUCAUUUCCGUAAACCCGCGCAUGCGCUUGACGUUUGACCGCGGUGUUGUACUCUUCUACAAAUGUAGAUUUGCUUUUCCUCGUUUUGAUUUGCAGCCUCCUUCCCAAGCUCCUUGCCUCCUUCCCUUUAGCUCUUUGGUUUUAAUGCUUCUUUCUUCUUUUAAUAUUCUUUAAUUGAAAAGGGUCACUUCUAAGUUUGUCCCUUUUUACGGAGGAUUGUAAUGAAUUAACAUAAACUUAACAGAUUUGUGAUAAAUUUGUCGGAAUAUUUCUUGAUUUUCCCGACCAUUUACCCAAAUUUCCUUCAUUUUCUAAAUUUUUGGGAGGACAAAUUCCCCAGUCUCCUACACCUAUGCAUAACUCACAGAUGGGUGGCGGAAAGAAAUUGAAGAGAAAUGUUGGGGAGAAAAGUUGGGCAAAGUUCAAAGUUGUAAUUUUCAGUCGGACGCCAUUCAUCCGCAAUGGUAGUUCAAUGAAAUUUUGUAAUGUUUCUCAUAGCAGCACCCUUCACCGCCCCUUCAUACCAUUCAUCACCUACUUGGAAAUGAUUACGUCUAUUUGGUAGUUGUUUAUUACAGAAGAAAUUAGCAAUGUGGUGAAUUUAUCACCUUUUCUCGAGAACGGAGACUUUUGAUAUUUCUCCAGGUCUAAACUAGUGCACCUCCCUACCUCUCCCCCAUCCAAAAUAGCAACCGUUAUUUUCAUUCCUUUUAUUUUCUGUUUAGAUCAAAGUGACCGUUUGAUUCAAAGAUGUUUGCCAAAUUCGUAGUCGUACUGUGUGCUGCAUACGUUCCCUUCACAUGUUCAGCUCAAGGAAGUCAGUGUUUUCCGCAUACUACUAAAAUAGUACGUUAUUAUAACUUGUAUAUUUCUGAGGACUGCGGUGCUUGCUUAAGAGUUUUAGUUCCCCGUAACCCUUGUUUCUCAGGAUACUGGCAUAUCUUUUUUAGUUCAGUUUUACGCAACCAAGC